CCUGACCGGCUGACAAACAGUGGUGAGUGCCUGUUUUAAGUUUGCAAAUUCAAUUUCGUCCGACUAGCUACAGGAUUAUUUGUUGUUGCUGAAGAGGUGAUAAAGCAACCGUAAGGUUUAGUAAUUUAUGCAUUCGAGAAUAUUCCAAACAUUCUGGUAUUUUAAGCUGUUAGCUGUCAAAUGAAAAAUAUGCUAUUCAGUUAGCGUUAAUAGCAUAUAACCAAUAAGCACGCCAACUUCAAGACAAGUGGAUAGCCGCAUGCAAUGAGAAACAUUAUGCGUGUAGUAGGCAUAGCCAUCAUAUCUAUCUUAUUUCAUUUUGAAGCAAAGGUAUGAGGGCCUAAUAGAUUAUUAUGUCGUGAACUUCAUAACGUUAGUGAAUCAAAUGAUUUGUGUCUGCUCUGUCAUGUCUUCCCAGGUGAUGACAGGAGGCUUUGUCAGCCAACUUUUACAUUUUCAUUAUUGUUUCAAUACAUUAUUUUCAUUCUCUGACCUUUCUUUUGCCUUAAUAACUCAAGAAGCAGGUAAGGCUUUCAAUGAAAGGGUGUUAAAAGAGCAGGUGACAUUAUUUAGCAGACACUCUUAUCCAGAGCAAUUAUGGUUAAGUGCCUUGCUCAAGGGCACAUCAACUGAUUUUUCACCUGGUCGGCUGGGGGAUUCAAACCAGCAACCUUUCGGUUACUGGCACCAAAGCUCUUAAUCGGUUGACUACCUGCCUAUAUGACUGCAAUCAAAUCCAAUGUUGUUGUGACUUGGGUGUCACAAAGAUAACCUUCUUGUAGUGCUGACAGAGUCAACCAUCUUGGUCUCCACCGCAUCCAAUGGAGGGUGGGGGAAGUGAGGGAGGAGGGGAAGAUGAGAGGAGGGGAACCCCGCCACAGAAGGAGGAGAUGAACAGCCAGGUGGUGCUGACGAGGCAGCAGAGGACUCUGGCGUUACUGUGCUACCUGUGCAGGAGGGUGGAUCAGCAGAGCAGGCUGAGGGCGGGGACUGAUCACCCAGUGUCACAGUCAGGAGACAGUGGUACAGGUGCAGCCUUCAACCCCACCAGCAACUCAGAUAACGAAACAAUGCCCUUUCCACCUCACCCCUUAUUGCACCUCUCAGACCCCCUCUCUGACAGCGAUGGGGACGAGUUACGCAGGGCGGCGGAAGAGGAUGAUGGUGCAGAUGAGCAAAUUGUGCUGGACCCCUGAACACCCGCUGAUGAGAAGGUUCCAGACUGCACUGAAGAACCACCUCCAUAAGCAACUGGGGAGACUCAACGUGGAGUUGCGGGAGAAGAUGGCUAUUUAGACCGCAGGCGGCCACCCAGCGCCAACAGGCCCAGGAUCGGCUAGAGGGGGUCCGAAGCCAGUACCGCACCAGCCAGGCCGGCAAGCAGAGGUCACACGUGUCCCAGCUGCAGAGUGAGGUAGAGAACCUGGCACU